CCGACGGGUGCGCCCCCGAUGUAACGGCAGGAAAACACUGUCCGGUAUCAGGCUGAAGUCUACAGAGCAUGCAGUAUAAGACCACAAGUAAUGCAUAAACGCACUUUAAAAACAUAUCAUCCAGACUAGCAUCACUAGAGGACCACGGAACAACUCUGCUCUGCAACCAAAGCGGAUCACUGGAAACAAGAGCUGUUAAUGUAAAACAUCAAAGCUGAAGCAGCGUGCAGCCUCAGAAGUGAAGGUGAGAAACCUGGUGUAAUGUUUGCAGCCACAGUGGGGUGCGAUUCCGGCUCAGCUCUGUUGACGGCUGCUCAGGCUUACACCUGCAGUCUGCCAGGGGUGACUGACAGUCUGAAGAGAACUAUAGGAGGAGGAAUAUCACAUUCCCUGCACACACUCUAAUAAAAUAACCUGAAUGGAAGAUGUAGCAUUAGUGUAUCAGACCAGCACCACAUGCAGAUUGUUUAGUUUCUCUUUCAUAUAUUGUGUCUGAAUCCAGCCUUGAUGUUCUUUCAAUAAUAAGCUGCUGAUGGCUUUAACAAAUGAAUAAAACAUCUCACUGCGUG